ACAUAAUUUGUUUACCAUUUAUAUGAAAUAAUUUUUUGUUUUACCCUUUUAAGAUAGAAAAAGGAAAUUUUUUGUCAAGUUGUUCCUUUGAUCACCUUGAGAUCGUAUGCGCUACGUGAUACAAGGUCGUCAUGUUGCUCCAUAUGUAUUUUAUCACAUAAUAAACAUGUGAAAUUAACAUAAGAAAAAAGAUGAAUGUUUCAUUAAAAGAUAGAGAAAACUUACUAUUGUUUUAUCAUAGUGUACAGAAUCGACUAUAAAUUAACGUAAACGCUAGCCGAUCUUUAAUUUCAAACGGACACUUAGAGGUGGGAAAAAUUGGAAAAGGUGGGGUUUUUUCCAGUCUAUAAUUUCAUUAGGUGCGCUCUUUGUAUUAUUUUUUAUUUUAUUCUAUUAGAUGUCUAUACUUACAGGCGCAUCCGUAGGUAAAGCUUUUCAAUACCUACUGUUUUUCGUUCGUAACUAUAAACCUCUGUAGAUAUAAGGCAAUUUUCUUGUAGUGUUAUUUCAGGUUGCAACAUGUUUUAUCAUCUUUUUCUGUAUUUACAAUAUACUCUGCUUCUCAGUGCUUAAGUUUUAGCUACACUAUUUGUGAGUGUCUUAUAAUUUGGUGAUUUAUUGCUUGUUUUUUCGUUCACCUCAUUCUAUAUUUUUUUAUUUGUCCAAUCUCUUAGAACAUCUAGAAGGGUAUAACUUCAUUUUUUUUUAGUACUUAAGUGGUUCGUUAAGAGUUUUUUUUAUUGGUUCAUCUAUAACUACAAUUGUGAGGUAUUAAGAAUUUUUUGAUUCUACUCAAUAAAAAACUCAAUAUUAAUAUGAUCAAGUCUAUGAUGCACUAGAAAAUAAAUCUUACACUAUAUAUAACAUUGUUUCAGUUCAAUAAAUCUCAUCAUUAAAAUGAAAUAUGAUUUGAUUUAUUGAUUCAAGAGUAAAAAAUAAAUUUAUGGAUAAUGCAACAAUAAUUUAUGUCUGCCUGUCAGACAAAGCCCGUUAACUAUUGUCGGGCAAAAAUAAGUUGCAGCCUCCUUUUGUGAGAAACAAAGAGAGGAUUUAUAGAGAUUUUUGAAAAAGUAACAACCAAGUUGACUAAUGUAGAUUAUUUCUCUUAAUUUCAUUAUCAAAGUAAAAGAUACUCUAAUCUUUAAUGGGUUAAACAUGUUUUGGGUCAUUAUAAAUAUAACGAGUUUUGCUUUUAAUCUUUAUAAAAAAAUGCAUGUUUACGUCCCUAUUAAAUUUCUAAGCAUGUAAUUUUCGUCUCUACUAAACUCAUAUUUGUUUAAUAUAAAAUUUUAAAUUUAUGAAUUAAUUUUGCAGGCAUGUUUAACACAUUAUAAAAGUUCUUCCACAAAAAAUAAGUUCAAAAUUUUUAUUACUUUUUAUCCUAAACUUUUGACGAUUAAAAAUUUCAUAUUCAAUUCAUUGCAUAUUAAAAACAUCUAUUUUUUAAAAAGAGUUUCUUAUAAUGUUCUUUAACAUACUUUUAACAAAACACACUCAAAACUUUAAAAAUCUAAGUAUAAUUAUAAGGACUAAAAACGAAUUUAUAAGUAUCAAAAGCUUAUUCUACCCAUCUUUUAUCAACACCGAUGAUGAAAGAAGGUUCAUCGUUCCGCUGGCUCGAAUCAUAUUUUAGUUUAGUGAUCGAUAUGUGAAUAAUAAUAAUUAUUAAGUUGUUGGUCCAAUGUUGGAUUUUCGGUGGUUACUGGAAGGAGAUUGAUGAUGAUGAUGAAAUUAAACUAACAUAGGGAAGUGGCUUAGAUGUUGUGUUUUAGCUUUCAUAAAAAAUGAGUGUCGAAGGGUGUUUCGGUUUUUUGUGUGAAAAAUGAUUGUUUCUUGCUUGCUGAGUAAAUAUAUUUCACAUUUAUUUUCUUACUAUGCCUACUUCUUCUUUGGUGGGAGUAUAUAUAUAGAGUAAACGAGGGGAUAAGGAUUGAAGAAUGGUGCCAAAAUAUAAGGCUAAAAGAGUAAUUUGAUAGACUAUAGAAGUUGUGAAGGUAGAGGUAGUACUAUAAAUAUAUGUUGUUGGAGAAAAUUCGGAAAAAGGAAACAGUAAAGAAGAAAGACAAAUUGACAUGAAACUCAAUGUGAGAAAACCUGUUAGAGAUGGUUAAUGGAUUAAGAUAUAAAUGUGCAGCUCUCUUUGUUUACAUUUUGCUUCCCUCUUCUAUGUUUUUUCGAGUACCUAUCAAAUUAGUCUUCGAUAUUGUUAGAUAAUCUCGAGUAAGUCAUUGAAGUUACAGUAUCCGCGAGUUUAACUUACUUGAUAAAGGAUAAUGCAUAUAUAUGCAGGGGUUGAGGUUCGAACCCCGGAUACACCACUUAUUUACCUUUAAGAUGAAUUUCUCACCGCUAAGCUACUUGAUAAAAAAAAAAAAGCUAAUUCAAUGAAUAUGAUUUGAUAAUCACUUGAUGACUAGUUCAAAUCGAACAGUGUUUCAGUAAACUCAUUAUUUUUUUAAUAAUAUGCUAGGACAUCUAGUGUAAAUCAUAUUAAUUUUUUGGUACAGUGGCACGCUCAAUGUGUGAGCAAUUUGGCAAUUUGCAAAAUU
rnacentral:lncRNA from 1 species